rnacentral:rRNA from 1 species
UACGGAGGGUGCAAGCGUUAUCCGGAUUCACUGGGUUUAAAGGGAGCGUAGGUGGCUUUGUAAGUCAGUGGUGAAAUAUUGCGGCUCAACCGCAAAACUGCCAUUGAUACUGCUUAGCUUGAAUCACGUCGAGGUGGAUGGAAUAUUACAUGUAGCGGUGAAAUGCUUAGAUAUGUAAUAGAACACCGAUUGCGAAGGCAGUUCACUAGGCGUGUAUUGACACUGAGGCUCGAAAGCGUGGGGAUCAAACAGG